rnacentral:lncRNA from 1 species
AUUGGAUUAUAACAUUAUAUAGCUUUCAGAUGUACAUUCUAAUAUAUUUUGAACUCUGUGUAGAUUACAUCAUGUUCACCACCCAAAAACUAAUUUUAGUCCAUCCCCUCACAUGUGAGUCUAAUCACCCCUUUUGCCCUCCCCCCUCUUCCCUUCCCCUAUGGUAACCACCAAUUCAAUCUCUGUUGCUAUGUGUUUGUUUGUCGUUGUUUUUAUCUUCUACUUAUGAGUGAGAUCAUACAGUAUUUGACUUUCUCCCUCUGACUUAUUUCACUCAGCAUAAUACCUUCAAGGUCCAUCCAUGUUGUCACAAAUGGCCAGAUUUCAUUAUUUCUUAUGGCUGAGUAGUAUAGCAUUGUGUAUAUAUACAGCAUCUUCUUUAUCCAUUCGUCCCUGGAUGGGCACCUAGGUUGCUUCCAAAUCUGGGCUAUUGUGAAUAAUGCUGCAAUGAACAUAGGGGUGCAUGUAUCUUCAUGCAUUUGUGUUUUCAAGUUCUUUGGAUAGAUAUCCAGCAGUGGGAUAGCUGGAUCAUAUGGAAGAUCUAUUCUUAAUUUUCUGAGGAUACUCCAUACUGCUUUCCAUAGUGGCUGCACCAGUUUACACUCCCACCAGCAGUGUACAAGAGCUCCCUUCUCACCACAUCCUCUCCAACACUUUUUGUUUCCUGUCUUGUUCAUUACAGCCAUUCUGAAGGGUGUGAAGUGAUAUCUCAUUGUAGUUUUGAUUUGUGUUUCCCUAAUAGCUAAUGAUGUUGAGCACGUUUUCAUAUGCCUUAUGGCCAUCUAUAUAUCUUCUUUGGAGAAGUGUCUGCUCAGCUUUUUUGCCCAUUUUUUAAUUGAGUUGUUUGUUUUUUUUGCUGUUGAGAUGUAUGAAUUCUUUGUAUAUCUUGGAUAUUAACCUCUUACCUGAUAUAUGGUUUGCAAAUAUCUUCUCCCAAUUGUUAGGUUGUCUUUUCAUUGUGUUGAUGGUUUCCUUUGCUGUGCAGAAGCUUUUUAGUUUGAUGUAGUCCCAUUUGUUCAUUUUUUCUUUUGUUUCCCUUGCCUGAUCAGACUUGAAAAUAUGCUGCUAAGACUGAUGUCAAAGAGUGUACUGCCUAUGUUUUCUUCUAGAAGUUUCAUGGUUUUGGAUCUUACAUUCAAGUCUUUAAUCCAUUUUUAGUUGAUUUUUGUGCAUGGUGUAAGGGAAUGGUCUACUGUCAUUCUUUUGCGUGUAGCUGUCCAGUUUCCCCUACGCCAUUAUUGAAGAGACUCUCCUUUCUCCAUUGUAUGUUCUUGGCUCCCUUGUUGAAUAUUAGCUGUCCAUAAAUGUGUGGGUUUACUUCUGGGCUCUCGAUUCUCUUCCAUUGAUCUGUGUCUGUUUUUGUGCCAGUACCACGCUGUUUUGAUUACUAUAGCUUUGAAAUCAGGGAGUGUGAUGCCUCUGUCAGUGUCGCAAUCCAGUGUACACAUCAGGAUAGAUGCAGAGAGCACUGAUGGCCACUCUGAGUUUAUUAUAACCAGCGUUUCAAUAUAUACAUAGCUUACAGCUGUUAAACAUACACAGGUGUUCUGGAUGAAGUAAUUAGCGAAUGCCAAGAAUUCUUAGUGAUUUCUCAAGGAGCCCUCCCUUGGCCUCUGUUUUGAUAUUAUCAUGUUAUUGCUGUGCUCCUAUAUUUUUAUCUUGGAGCAGGCAAGGUCUCUUAUGCAACGGUCCCUCCUGCUCCCAAUAUCGAUAUCGUUUCUCCAUCUGUGCCCCCAGGUGGCCGCCGCCUGGCUUACGUUGCCCCCCCCCCCCCCCCCUCCGCCGCGCGGGGGUCUUACCCGUCAUUGGCUAACCGGCCUUCUCACCUCCAGACAUACAGAAGUCCAAAUUAUAUUAUGAUCAUGGGUCUCUCCCACCUGAUGGUGAAGUGUGGACAGGAACUGGGCCCAAGACUGUGUCAUUCUGUUUGUAGCCCCAGAAUGGUCUCCCUGGUUCAGACUUUCGUGGUGACUGUUUGCACUGUGACUUCAAUUCUCUGAUGGAUUUAAGAAAAGUCAUUGAAUUUCAGUUUGUUCAACUUUUUCUUUGCUGUGAGGAUGGAAGUCACGACCUUCUACAGCUUUUUACAGUGUUGGAGUUGAAACCAGAUGUCCUUUCCUCUGCUUUUUAUUUGAAAGUUAUUCUUUUCCAUGGGACCAGGACCUGUACCCCUCUCGAUUUCAUUAAUUUUAAUUGUGAUAAUUUGUAAUUAUUAUUAUAAACAAGUGUAAAUUUUCUGAGAGUUGUAUACUGUUAUUGUGUUUCGUAGUAUAUUACUCUAGCUCUGGAUUUAGAUGAGAAUUGAAACCAUGGUGACCUUAGUUACACUAUUUACAUUACCAUACAAAUAGCAUUGUGUGUGUCUCAAACAAAAUAAGUGAGUAAAUUUCAGAAAUGAGUUUUACACAGUAGGCUCUUUUACCUUUAGGAAUGUGUCUAUAAUUUAGAUAUGUGGAAUUUUAUAUAUUUGACAGUGAUUUCAUGAAUUGGUCAUUCCUAAUUUUGUAAGUACAUUAAAGGUUAUGUCUUUUGAAAAUUCCAAAUUCACCAUAGCAUUUGGUAUACUCUGAGAAUGUUGUUUUGAUAAGUAUUAUACAUGUAAAACUUCUGUAGUGACCAAAAGCUUAUGUAGGACCACAGAAAAAGGAAAGAAUGUGUUCCAAAAAACCCUAGGUCAGUAAAAUACUAGUCAGUGUUUGCGAAAGUAAGUUUAUGGGAAAAUAAAUUUGAAAAAUACUUAUUUGAUUUAUACAGACAUGUUUACCACAGAACUUCUUUGAGCCUCAUUAAGCACACGUACCCUCUGAAUCUCUAAGAAGAAGAAUCUUUUUUCAGUGGAAUUACUAUUAAAGAGUGCUUCAGAUAACACAGAUGGGCAAAUACUGCACCAGAUCAUCCUUUUCAGAUAGAAUAUGUUAAGAUUCAUUACUUACUUUUAUUUGGCAGAAAGUCUUUCUUCUUAGUCGGUGACUGGCUCCCUGCAAUGAUGAACAACUACAUUGCUAUGGCAACAUAGCAAACAAGGUUCUUCCAAUCAGAGAUGCUUCUUUUCAUGUAGAAGAACUUGUCACCAGGUUUCUCAAACUAAGUUUUUAUGAAGUAGAAAAUGUGAUUAGAAAAUAUAUCUGAAAAAAAAGUCUUUAAUUUUGUUAAACAAAAGUAUAUUAGUUUGAAAACUCUGCCUUGUGGGCAGAAUGGAUUAUUAAAAUUGUGCAAGUUAUUCAUCACCAUAAUUUUACUUAAUAAUAAAAGAUUUUAGGUAUGCUGUUUGCAAAUAAUUUAGAAAAAUUCUU